rnacentral:rRNA from 1 species
UUUUGGACAAUGGGCGCAAGCCUGAUCCAGCCAUUCCGCGUGAGUGAAGAAGGCCUUCGGGUUGUAAAGCUCUUUCCCCCCCCCCCCCCAACUUAGGCGCUAAUAUCGCUUGAGGUUGACGGUACCUUGAUAAGAAGCACCGGCUAACUACGUGCCAGCAGCCGCGGUAAUACGUAGGGUGCGAGCGUUAAUCGGAAUUACUGGGCGUAAGGCGUGCGCAGGCGGUUUUGUAAGUCAGAUGUGAAAUCCCCGAGCUCAACUUGGGAAAUGGGUUUGAAACUACAAGACUAGAAUAUGUCAGAGGGGGGUAGAAUUCCACGUGUAGCAGUGAAAUGCGUAGAGAUGGGAGGAAUACCAAGGCGAAGGCAGCCCCCGGGAUAUAUUACGUCAGCAGAAAG